rnacentral:rRNA from 1 species
GGAUCAAUUGAUAUGGUCAUGCCUUGGUAUGUACUGUUCAUAUUGGUUCUCACCUUCUAACGAACCAUAAUGUCAUUCAUUUGAUGUUAUGGGGAAUUAGGACUGUUACCUUGAAAAAAUUAGAGUGUUUAAAGCAGGCAUUCGCUUGAAUACAUUAGCAUGGAAUAAUAAAAUAGGACU